AUGGAGAAGCAAGCCGACAAGGCCGCGGCGCCGGUCGACGACGGCAUCCACGAGGAGUCGCCGGCCUCCGCCCAGAACGGGAGGCCCGGAUCCGAGCCGGCGGCCGCACCCGAGGUGGAGGUGCAGCUCUUCCGGCGGGGCCGGGGGCCGGUGGCCGUGUUCCGGUCACCCCUGGGCGGGUACACGCAGGACCAGCUGGAGGUGGGGGACAUCCUGGAGAAGCACGGCCUCAAGUGCGUCUUCGCCUUCGACGCCGCCUCCCGCGCACGCGGCGUCGCCAUCCGAUUCAACCCCCGCAACGGCCGCUCCCUCCUCCCCUACGCCGCCGACUCCACCAUCUUCCUCGACGGCGAGCCCAAGGAUCCUUUGCUGAAGCCCAUCACCAAGGUGAUGCUCACUGUCUGCGCCAUGACAGUGGUAGCUGCGGUGAUACUGAAGGAGGCGAAGAUGCCCGAGUGGCUUAAGGGAACCAAGCUAGGCAACCUGAAAUUCCCACCGUGGGUGCUGGCUUGCAUGGUCAUUGUGUUCAUGAGGCUCCGGAAGAGAACCAGGGAUGUCAUGAAGAAGAUUGGCUGGUCCUCCUGA
rnacentral:rRNA from 1 species